GAUGAACGCUGGCGGCGUGCCUAAUACAUGCAAGUCGAGCGAACGGACGAGAAGCUUGCUUUUCUGAUGUUAGCGGCGGACGGGUGAGUAACACGUGGAUAACCUACCUAUAAGACUGGGAUAACUUCGGGAAACCGGAGCUAAUACCGGAUAAUAUUUUGAACCGCAUGGUUCAAAAGUGAAAGACGGUCUUGCUGUCACCUAUAGAUGGAUCCGCGCUGCAUUAGCUAGUUGGUAAGGUAACGGCUUACCAAGGCAACGAUGCAUAGCCGACCUGAGAGGGUGAUCGGCCACACUGGAGCUGAGACACGGUCCAGACUCCUACGGGAGGCAGCAGUAGGGAAUCUUCCGCAAUGGGCGAAAGCCUGACGGAGCAACGCCGCGUGAGUGAUGAAGGUCUUCGGAUCGUAAAACUCUGUUAUUAGGGAAGAACAUAUGUGUAAGUAACUGUGCACAUCUUGACGGUACCUAAUCAGAAAGCCACGGCUAACUACGUG
rnacentral:rRNA from 1 species